UACGUAGGGCGCAAGCGUUGUCCGGAAUUACUGGGCGUAAAGAGCUCGUAGGCGGUCUGUUGCGUCGGCUGUGAAAACCCGGGGCUCAACUCCGGGCCUGCAGCCGAUACGGGCAGACUAGAGUUCGGCAGGGGAGACUGGAAUUCCUGGUGUAGCGGUGAAAUGCGCAGAUAUCAGGAGGAACACCGGUGGCGAAGGCGGGUCUCUGGGCCGAUACUGACGCUGAGGAGCGAAAGCGUGGGGAGCAAACAGG
rnacentral:rRNA from 1 species